AUUUUGCACAAGAAAGAAUCCAGGGCCUUCAGUACAUCUUUAUUAAUCUGACUGCCUGGUUGCAGUUACAUUUGAGAAUAAGACUGAGAUCAAAUUCCACGUUUAGAGUGAGAAAUGACUGCAGUUGAAGACUUGGUUGCAAGAGUCUAAGAAGACACCUCAGGGAGAGAGACAGGAUCCAAAACAAGAUUGCUGGCUGAGGUAAGAAGCUAUAAACCAGGAAGGACUCAUGGAACCUAGAGGUAUUCUCCAGAGAUUCCUCAGAAAUACCUAGGGAGAGGAAUCUGAUGGAAGACUGAACUUCUUCAAACAGGAAGGAAAUGGUUAUUUAGCCAUUAAAGGAAAUGUGAGCCAGAAUAAGUUUGGAGAAUUUGGGAGCAUGUGAAUUAUACACAAUAAUUGUAUUUUUCUGCAACUUCCUGUUUUCCACUUAAUUGUAUAUCGUGAAGUUAUUUCCAGGUCAGUAUAUAAAGAACUAUCUUAUUUUUCAAGCAGCUGCAUACUGUUUUUAAAGGUAACUUUGUUUAUUUAACUGUCUCCUAAUUGUAGAUGGAUGUUGGUUGCUAGCAAUUUGUUGUUGUUAUACAUAAACAGUGCUGCAGUGAACUAACUCACAUAUAAAUCUUUGUAAACAUACUCUCAUAUUUCUGUAGGGUGAGUUUUUUCAAGUGGGAUUGCUGAGUUCCAGAUGUAUGCAUUUGAAACUUUAAUAAAUUCUAUAAGAAUAUCCUCUAAAAAGUAAAAUUUAAAUUACUACAUUUAAACUCCUAGCAACAGUAUAUGAAAAUGUUCAUUUCAAGGUGUCCUUAACAAUGAAUUCUAUAAAAUUUUUGCCAAUAUGAUAGAUGAAAAUAACACUUCAUUCUUUUCAACAUACUUUUCUUUGAUAUUAGUGACACUAAUAAUCUUUUCACUGCAUAAUUAGCCAUGUAUAUUUCUUUUUCUAUGAUAUCUGUGCCUUGUUUGUUUAUCUAUUGGAUUGUUUACUUACUUUCUAAUGGUAGGGAUUUUUCAUAUUUUAUGAAUGUUAAAUUAUUAAAUUUAGUUUGUUAUAUGUGUUAAAAUA
rnacentral:lncRNA from 1 species